UACGUAGGGGGCAAGCGUUUGUCCGGAAUCAUUGGGCGUAAAGCGCGUGUAGGCGGCUUGGUAAGUCCGUUCUGAAAGCCCGGGGCUCAACCCCGGGAGGCGGAUGGAUACUGUCAAGCUUGAGUCCGGAAGAGGCGAGUGGAAUUCCCGGUGUAGCGGUGAAAUGCGCAGAUAUCGGGAGGAACACCAAUGGCGAAGGCAGCUCGCUGGGACGUGACUGACGCUGAGACGCGAAAGCGUGGGGAGCAAACAGG
rnacentral:rRNA from 1 species